AGUAACACGUGGGUAACCUGCCCGGAAGUGGGGAAUACCUCGGGGAAACUCGAGCUAAUACCGCAUGACAUCUUCGGGACGAAAGUCCUGACGAUCAAAGCGGGGUCGCAAGAUCUCGCGCUACCGGAUGGGCCCGCGCCCGAUUAGCUAGUUGGUGAGGUAAUGGCUCACCAAGGCAACGAUCGGUAGCCGGCCUGAGAGGGUGAUCGGCCACACCGGAACUGAGACACGGUCCGG
rnacentral:rRNA from 1 species